UACAGAGGGGGCGAGCGUUGUUCGGAAUUACUGGGCGUAAAGGGCGCGUAGGCGGCCCGCUAAGUCGAACGUGAAAUCCCCAGGCUCAACCUGGGAACUGCGUCCGAUACUGGCAGGCUUGAAUCCGGGAGAGGGAUGUGGAAUUCCAGGUGUAGCGGUGAAAUGCGUAGAUAUCUGGAGGAACACCGGUGGCGAAGGCGGCCAUCUGGACGUCAACUGACGCUGAGACGCGAAAGCAUGGGGAGCAAACAGG
rnacentral:rRNA from 1 species